rnacentral:rRNA from 1 species
UACGAAGGGUGCAAACGUUGCUCGGAAUUACUGGGCGUAAAGCGUGCGCAGGCGGUUCGCUAAGACCGAUGUGAAAUCCCCGGGCUUAACCUGGGAACUGCAUUGGUGACUGGCGGGCUAGAGUAUGGCAGAGGGGGGUAGAAUUCCACGUGUAGCAGUGAAAUGCGUAGAGAUGUGGAGGAAUACCGAUGGCGAAGGCAGCCCCCUGGGCCAAUACUGACGCUCAUGCACGAAAGCGUGGGGAGCAAACAGG